rnacentral:rRNA from 1 species
AUUGAACGCUGGCGGCAUGCCUUACACAUGCAAGUCGAACGGUAACGCGGGGCAACCUGGCGACGAGUGGCGAACGGGUGGGUAACGCAUCGGAACGUGCCCAGUAGUGGGGGAUAGCUCGGCGAAAGCAGGAUUAAUACCGCAUACGACCUACGGGUGAAAGGGCGGGAUCGCAAGACCUCUCGCUAUUGGAGCGGCCGAUGGGAGAUUAGGUUGUUGGUGGGGUAAAAGCCUACCAAGCCGACGAUCUGUAGCUGGUCUGAGAGGACGACCAGCCACACCGGGACUGAGACACGGCCCAGACUCCUACGGGAGGCAGCAGUGGGGAAUUUUGGACAAUGGGCGAAAGCCUGAUCCAGCCAUGUCGCGUGUCUGAAGAAGGCCUUCGGGUUGUAAAGGACUUUUGUCGGGGAGGAAAUCCCCAGCGUUAAUACCGCUGGGGGAUGACAGUACCUGAAGAAUAAGCACCGGCUAACUACGUGCCAGCCGCCGCAGUAAUAC